GAGAGCAUUCACACACAUUACAACCUGGGCGGACAAAGAAUCAGAACAUUGUUAUAUCCUUCAACUAGGACGUAAAUAUGGCUACUCUUCAAAAAUGAUCGAAGGCAUGUGGACAAAACAAAUAAAGAUAUGGGAAGGGGUUAGCCAUGCAGUAAACCGUGUGUCGAACCCUAUACUACAAAGGCCCAGAUAUGUGCGGCUUACGUAUGAUAAAGAUGUGUGUGACAUUGUGUCUAAGGCUUUAAGAGGUAACACUGAAAUAAAAAUUGCUAAGAAGAGAGGUUCCACGGUGUUUGAGUGGAUAUGGAAUGACAAAAGUCAAGUACCUGAGGAC
rnacentral:lncRNA from 1 species